rnacentral:rRNA from 14 species
UACGGGAGGCAGCAGUGGGGAAUAUUGCACAAUGGGCGAAAGCCUGAUGCAGCGACGCCGCGUGCGGGAUGACGGCCUUCGGGUUGUAAACCUCUUUCAGCAGGGAAGAAGCGAAAGUGACGGUACCUGCAGAAGAAGCACCGGCCAACUACGUGCCAGCAGCCGCGGUAAUACGUAGGGUGCGAGCGUUGUCCGGAAUUACUGGGCGUAAAGGGCUCGUAGGUGGUUUGUCGCGUCGUCUGUGAAAUUCCGGGGCUUAACUCCGGGCGUGCAGGCGAUACGGGCAUAACUUGAGUGCUGUAGGGGUAACUGGAAUUCCUGGUGUAGCGGUGAAAUGCGCAGAUAUCAGGAGGAACACCGAUGGCGAAGGCAGGUUACUGGGCAGUUACUGACGCUGAGGAGCGAAAGCAUGGGUAGCGAACAGGAUUAGAUACCCUGGUAGUCCACGCCGUAAAC